rnacentral:pre_miRNA from 1 species
GAAGAAUGGCGGUAAUCGUGACAUUAUUUCUAUUAAUAGUAACCAAAUAAUAUUGUCAGAUGUGAUCAGCAAAAGUAUCAUCAACAAAGGUUCAAGUUUGUAUAUGUUUUGGUUUGAGUAAGAAGAUAGCGAAUGAAAAGGAAUGCCCCUUGCAUGUUGAGGGAUUGGUAUGUGUUAAUUGUUUGAGUCAAGAUAUUUUUGUAGAGACUAUGCUAAUCGCAGUUAAGAAUCAACAGUUCUAGAGAGAUAUAUAUGGAAAAUGUGUUCAUGACGGUCUAUUCAAU